rnacentral:rRNA from 1 species
UGCAGUCGAGGGGCAGCAUAAUGGAUAGCAAUAUCUAUGGUGGCGACCGGCGCACGGGUGCGUAACGCGUAUGCAACCUACCUUUAACAGGGGGAUAACACUGAGAAAUUGGUACUAAUACCCCAUAAUAUCAUAGAAGGCAUCUUUUAUGGUUGAAAAUUCCGAUGGUUAGAGAUGGGCAUGCGUUGUAUUAGCUAGUUAGUGGGGUAACGGCUCACCAAGGCGACGAUACAUAGGGGGACUGAGAGGUUAACCCCCCACACUGGUACUGAGACACGGACCAGACUCCUACGGGAGGCAGCAGUGAGGAAUAUUGGUCAAUGGACGCAAGUCUGAACCAGCCAUGCCGCGUGCAGGAUGACGGCUCUAUGAGUUGUAAACUGCUUUUGUACGAGGGUAAACGCAGAUACGUGUAUCUGUCUGAAAGUAUCGUACGAAUAAGGAUCGGCUAACUCCGUGCCAGCAGCCGCGGUAAUACGGAGGAUUCAAGCGUUAUCCGGAUUUAUUGGGUUUAAAGGGUGCGUAGGCGGUUUGAUAAGUUAGAGGUGAAAUUUCGGGGCUCAACCCUGAACGUGCCUCUAUACUGUUGAGCUAGAGAGUAGUUGCGGUAGGCGGAAUGUAUGGUGUAGCGGUGAAAUGCUUAGAGAUCAUACAGAACACCGAUUGCGAAAGGCAGCUUACCAAACUAUAUCUGACG